rnacentral:rRNA from 1 species
UGCGCAGGCGGGUAUUGUAAGUCAGAGGUGAAAUCCUCGGGCUCAACCUGGGCACUGCCGUUGAAACUGGGAUUCUUGAGUGUGGAUGAAGGAGGCGGAAUUCGUUGUGUAGCGGUGACAUGCUUAGAUAUAACGAGGAACUCCGAUUGCGAAGGCGACUUUACUGGGCCAUAACUGACGCUGAAGCACGAAAGCGUGGGGAGCAAACAGGAUUAGAUACCCUGGUAGUCCACGCCGUAAACGAUGAUUACUAGUUGUUUGCGAUAUACCGUAAGUGACUAAGCGAAAGCGAUAAGUAAUCCACCUGGGGAGUACGCCGGCAACGGUGAAACUCAAAUGAAUUGACGGGG